rnacentral:rRNA from 1 species
AGUGAACGCUGGCGGCAUGCCUAAUACAUGCAAGUCGAACGAAGUGGGGAACGGGUGAGUAAUAUAUAGUUAAUAUGACCUACACAGAGGAACAACAGUUGGAAAAGACUGCUAAUACCUCAUAGUGUAGGAUGAGACGAUAUCGUAUCAGCUAGUGGGUAAGGUAAUGGCUGACCAAGGCUAUGACGCGUAACUGGUCUGAGAGGAUGAUCAGGCACAUUGGAACUGAGACACCGUCCAAACUCAUUCUGGAUGCAGCAGUAAGGAAUAUUGCGCAAUGGGGGUAUCCCUUACGCAGCAACGCCGCGUGGAGCAUGACACUUUUCGGAGCGUAAACUCCUUUUAUCACGAUAUCGUUACCUGAUGAAUAAGCACCGGCUAACUCCGUGCCAGCAGCCGCGGUAAUUC